UUUGGCCACCAUGAAAGCUUAUGGUGUGUCUGCUAACCCCAAGUAAUUAGAAAAGAACAUCAACUCAAGUCUCAGUGUCAAACAAUUGAUUGGAAGUACUCCAUUUUGUUUGCUACUUUACCCACAUGAUCUGAAUUUUUAUCCUUAGAAAAAUUGGCGAGGGGUUAGCCGUAGGCCCCUAUAAGUUGAUUAAUAAUGGAGCUCAAUUAAACUAGACUAACUAAAACCAAACUUCCCUAUUGU
rnacentral:lncRNA from 1 species